AGCAGCAGCGCGGUAAUACAGAGGGUGCGAGCGUUAAUCGGAUUUACUGGGCGUAAAGCGUGCGUAGGCGGCUUCUUAAGUCGGAUGUGAAAUCCCUGAGCUUAACUUAGGAAUUGCAUUCGAUACUGGGAAGCUAGAGUAUGGGAGAGGAUGGUAGAAUUCCAGGUGUAGCGGUGAAAUGCGUAGAGAUCUGGAGGAAUACCGAUGGCGAAGGCAGCCAUCUGGCCUAAUACUGACGCUGAGGUACGAAAGCAUGGGGAGCAAACAGGAUUAGAUACCCCCGUAGUCCCUGUCUCUUAUACA
rnacentral:rRNA from 1 species